ACACUCUUUCUCUCCUUCUGCCUGCUUGCCUUGUGGGACUGAGCAACUGCUAGAUCCUCCAUUCACACAGCUGCUGCUGACCAUUGUUGGAAGUUGGACUACAAACUUAUAAUGCUAACUUUAUUGUAAAAUGAGAUUCUCUGGGUGAAGCAUCAGCAACACUAGUCCUGCCUGCCAUUAUGUGGAUGAAAAUAGCUAGACUUCUGUCUGUCAGUUAGACAGUAACAAGCACUGAACAUACAUUGUAAGAAAACGGUGAACAUGGCAACCACUAAUGCAGACGUGAACAUUACCCAGCAUGAAGUCAGUGAAAAACUGAACAUGACUCUCAUUGUAUGAAUUAAAAUCAGAGACAUGACUUUAUAAGCAGUGCCUUUAAUAAAGACGGUAAUUUAAUUUCAAAUAAAUAUAUUUCCUUUC
rnacentral:lncRNA from 1 species